UGAGCAGCCAUCUUAAAAGUGAGAUGGUGGCUGGGAGCAGGGCUUUCAUACCCUCCAGCUGCACCUUUUUGGCAGAUAUGGAGCAGAACACACAGUAAAUGCAAAGUUACAUUCACUUAAUAAAGUAGAUCCAGAAGCCUGA